CUGCCAAAUCUCCCACCCCCAUCGCUCCCACCCCCAAAAAAGGAAAAAGCCCCAAACUUCGAAUUAAACAGUUCAAUCGUAUAAACCUAAUAAGCCCAAAACUUCUCUAACUGUUAGUAAACCUCGGUUUGAACGGAAUUAGCAGAGCGAAUUAGCGAACGAAUUGAAGCUGCUCGUCACCUCCAUUGAUAACAACUGAUAAUCUUUGAGGUUAUUCACAUCAUGUUCCGCAUCAACAUGAUUAAUCUGGACGUAUCUUUUUAGGAAAAAUCAGUUAUUUACAGAUUGACGGAGGAUAAAGCUUCUUUUCUACAUCACAGCAACAGACUUCGCCAAGAAUUGGUACAGGUAUUCCUGAGGCAUAGAGCGAGUUUUCUGCUAUUCAGUUUUCAUCGGAGUUAUCGAGGAUGCUUGGAGGACAACACUUCUUCGAAGAGUGAAGGAAACAUUGAAGGCUAAGGAUCUCGAGGAAGAUGAUCUAUCUUAAUUUGUUCCCCUUUGACCUAUUGUAAACUACUAGUACAUCCUUUAUUUGAUUUUAUUUGUACUGCUUUCAAAUAUGAUACUUUAGUUCUUUGUAUUAACAAGAUAUCAAGUAUUUGGUUUAUUUUC